rnacentral:snoRNA from 1 species
GGGUGGUUUGUGUAAGUAGACAUCACACCCGAUACAAUCUUCCCAAAAAGAGUACAAUCUGUUUCUUCCUGCUUGCAGUAUCGCAAGUAUGUUCUGCGAGUCUCAAAGAUACCGGACAUAA